AUUGCAUCGUGGUGAAUUCCCAUAUCUCAGAAAUUUGACAACAAAACAAAAUGAAGGGAGUAUUUUAUUUUCCAAUUUUUGCGAUUUCUAUUGUUUAAUGUAAAUUUUAUGUCUUUUUAGGAUAUGUUGAAGCAACAAAGAAGGCGCAGUUGGAAAAUGAAGUUAUUAGUAUGAAGUAGCAUCUCAGGCAUAUUUGGAAAAGUAUGCCUAUAAGCAAGAUGGAAUUUGGGAAAAAAUGUUAUAAAUCGAGUGGCAUUAUUUAAGAUGUGCUCCAAAUAUUUGGCGAACUUUUUUUCGCCUUCUCAACGUGCUAAGUGACAAGAUAAGAUGACUGCCACCAGGGCCGGUAAGAAGCCCGAAGCAAAGGGAAAACUACCUUCCAGGAAGUUGCAUGCUGUCCGCGAGUCGAAGAUAAAGUUAAGCAAGAAGCAGGUCUGCAAAUGUGCUACCCUGAUAAGCGCAAACUAAAGCGCUCUACUGUGAUUGCACUCUGCAAGCGUGAAAAUUUGGAGCAUGCUGAGAAAUAUCAAGCAACAUAUCUCCUGAUGGACGCCGUGAGAUGAAGUUGCGCCGUCUACGUGCCCGCAGAAUGGCUUUUGUGAUCUUUAUCUGCGGUAUAAACAAAGUUGCACCAAAAGUGCGUAAAGUUUUACUGUGGUUCCAUCUUCGCCACAUUAACAACGGUUUGUUCAUCGAAUU